UACGGAGGGUGCAAGCGUUAUCCGGAUUCACUGGGUUUAAAGGGAGCGUAGGAGGGCAGGUAAGUCAGUGGUGAAAUCCCCGUGCUUAACAUGGGAACUGCCGUUGAUACUAUCUGUCUUGAAUACCGUGGAGAUGAGCGGAAUAUGUCAUGUAGCGGUGAAAUGCUUAGAUAUGACAUAGAACACCGAUAGCGAAGGCAGCUUACUACAGGAUGAUUGACGCUGAGGCACGAAAGCGUGGGGAGCAAACAGG
rnacentral:rRNA from 1 species